AAAAAAGGAAAACAAAAAAAAAAAAAAAAAAAACAGAUAUGAUGACGAACAAAAUGGCGCGGGAAAAUUUCAAAUACAAUGACUACUACAAGAGCCCUUUUACAGUAAAUCUAGAUAAAAAAGAAAAUAACCAAAAUUAAGACGAAAGAAAACAAGAUUUUGGAUGUGAUGAGAUUGUUGAAAUCAGGUAUGGUGGACGCAAAAUACAUUCAAAAACGUCAACGCAGCAAACAACUUAAGUGAAUUAAAUGACGGCAAUAUGAGGCAAGAAUUUUCGGCCAUUUCAGGACAAGAAAAAUUAGAAAAUAUCUCAUCAUAAAUCAAAAUUAUGAAAGUAGUGAGAGUAAUGAGGGCAAAAGAUGGGACCAGAUACUCAACAUCCACUUUGAUGAAUUAGAAAUCCACUCGGAUGUGGCGUUUUUAUUCACAAAAAUCAAAGUUCAACCCUACGUUAUACCUGGAAAACAUACAUGCAAAAUAUUCAACAGCAACCACAAACCACCUAUCAACAUCUUGACGGAUCAAUUCACAUUCCAACAUAAACCUCAGGAAAUAAUAACAACAAACAUACUAAAGGAUAUUAUCAACCUUAAAAUUGGACCUUAUUUAAUAGAAAUAUCCAAUGAUAAAACAAAAACACACGAUCAACAAGGCAAUAAAAAAUACAUCCCAAGACAGUGGUUGGCAGAGGAAUCCCAAAAGCUAUUUCGGCUGAGAAAAGCCGGCUAUACAAAACUAUAAAAAACAAUAACAUACUAUGCACUGAAACGAAGUUCCUUGGCUGGGGUAAGAUCAGCGUACCCAGAGUGGGCAAAAUAAUAAGUCGCUUUUUUCCUGUUACAACAAAAGUUUAGUAGUUUAAAUUAGUUUCUAUGCUCUACUUUGUUCGUAAAGAUCGUGGAGGUGGGACACCCUCCACUGGUUUUCCGUUCGGUGAAAUGAAAUCUCUCUUCCGAAUAUACUCUACUGCUGUCGUAAAAGUUGCGGAGGUGGAACUCCCUCCACUAACUUUCUUUCAACUAGGUGAAAACCCCGUUGAAUAUAAACUAAGUACUCGUGAAGUGGAAACCCUCAGGUAUACUACUUCUGUCUGCGAUAUUCACGGACAAGUAUACCUAUCGACCAUAUACUGGCUAAUUAAAUAUUCAAAGUACGAUCGCUCUUUUUAUACCUUCCUGCACGCAAUAAUAACAAUUAUUAUAAUAAGCAGUUUUCUUAAUUCUAUGGUGUGUAUGUGUAUACUUAUGUAUUCAUAAAAAGCAUACUUGGUCCCUAAAAGUAUACAUAUAUAAAUAUGGAUAAUUAUGACUGAGAUUCCUAAGAGUAUACGUUUGUAUGUAUACCUUUUCUCCUAUUAUAUUCUUAUAUACGCCUAGGUAUAAACUUCAAUGUAUUUAUGCGUAUGAAUGAAAGAAUUCAAUUUAAAUAAAUUUGGAAUUUCCAUGUAUCUUCUGUAUGUGUACAUGUACGUAUAUCUUUUGGUUGUAAGAGCUCCAGGCUUCUAGAGUUUUGGGGUCCCUACAGCACAUCAAAAUGAAAUCUAAGAACAAGAGGAAAAGGGCUUUAACAAAACAUUAGAAGAGUAAUGAGAAAAUAAAAAUGUGAAUGUGGUCCAAAAUAAACAAUAUAAGAACAUAUCAUUGCGAGAAAACUAUAAGAAACUCUUGAGACCCAAAAGAGCAAUAUAAAUAUCAACAUCAAUAACCAAGAAACCAAUAGAUGGAAACACCACUAGAAGAAAUGUCUCUUGAAAAUCGCACGAAAUUCGUACAAACUAGAAAUCUAAAAUCAUCGAAAUAGGUCAAUACGUUUCGCAUAGAAAAUGUUAAGGAACAAGAAUUAUUGAAAAUGUUAAUAACAGUUUUGCGAGAAGGACUUACUCCCGAAGAAUGGAAGGAAAUUAACAUGAUACCCACACAUAAAAAAGUCAGUAACCCAACCAACAUUUACUACUACUACUCAAUAUGCCUAACAUCAGUGCUAUCAAAAACCAUAGGAUAUCUUAAAACUACAGAGCUCAACAUUAUUCCUGAUAGAUCAUACGACUUAAUUAACACAAUGUUAUUCCAUAAAGAAAAAAACACAGGCUACUUGUGUAGAUGUGGAAAAGGCCUACGAAACAGUCGAUGUCGAUACCCUAUAACAGGCGCUUAUAGAAGAAGUUAAAUCCAAAAGCGAUAAAUUGGAAAACAUCAUUCCUGAGAAGAAGAACAAAACAUUACAGAAAAUGGACUGGCCUAAGAUGAUUUCUUUAGAGACUGCUUUCACAGAAAAUACGAACAAGUAAACUGGAGGAAAAUUCAAGAAUGUGCAAAUAAGUGCAGGGAAAUCAGGUCUCUUCUGUCGAGAUACGUAUACUGUUCAGCAAGCAGUUAAUCUCUUGGGAUUUGGAUGGUUUCAUGUUAAACUAUCACUUCUUGUAGGACUUUGUUGGAUGGCUGACUCAAUGGAAAUGACUAUACUUAGUAUUAUUGGACCAACAAUGCAAUUCCUACAUUUUGGUCCCAGUUAAGUGACCGAUAUGGUCGUAAAUCGGCUUUGACUUUCUGUGGAGUACUGCUUGUACUGUAUGGCUUACUUAGCUCUGU
rnacentral:misc_RNA from 1 species